rnacentral:rRNA from 1 species
GACGGAGGAUGCAAGCGUUAUCCGGAAUGAUUGGGCGUAAAGCGUCCGCAGGUGGCAGUUCAAGUCUGCUGUCAAAGACCGGGGCUUAACUUCGGAAAGGCAGUGGAAACUGAACAGCUAGAGUAUGGUAGGGGCAGAGGGAAUUCCUGGUGUAGCGGUGAAAUGCGUAGAUAUCAGGAGGAACACCAAUAGCGAAGGCAGCUCGCUGGGACGUUACUGACACUGAGGCGCGAAAGCGUGGGGAGCGAACAGG